rnacentral:rRNA from 1 species
AUUGAACGCUGGCGGCAGGCCUAACACAUGCAAGUCGAGCGGGGUUUUCGGACCUAGCGGCGGACGGGUGAGUAAUGCGUAGGAAGCUGCCCGAUAGGGGGGGAUACCAGUUGGAAACGACUGUUAAUACCGCAUAAUGUCUACGGACCAAAGUGUGGGACCUUCGGGCCACAUGCUAUCGGAUGCGCCUACGUGGGAUUAGCUAGUUGGUGAGGUAAUGGCUCACCAAGGCGACGAUCUCUAGCUGGUUUGAGAGGAUGAUCAGCCACACUGGAACUGAGACACGGUCCAGACUCCUACGGGAGUCAGCAGUGGGGAAUAUUGGACAAUGGGCGCAAGCCUGAUCCAGCCAUGCCGCGUGUGUGAAGAAGGCCUUCGGGUUGUAAAGCACUUUCAGCGAGGAGGAAGGGUGGUGUGUUAAUAGCACAUCAUUUUGACGUUACUCGCAGAAGAAGCACCGGCUAACUCUGUGCCAGCCGCCGCAGUAACAC